rnacentral:rRNA from 1 species
UACGUAGGGGGCAAGCGUUGUCCGGAUUUAUUGGGCGUAAAGACGCGUGUAGGCGGCUUUGCAAGUCGGGUGUGAAAGCCCUCAGCUCAACUGAGGAAAGUGCGCCCGAAACUGCAGAGCUUGAGUACCGGAGAGGGUGGCGGAAUUCCCCAAGUAGAGGUGAAAUUCGUAGAUAUGGGGGAGGAACACCGGUGGCGAAGGCGGCCACCUGGACGGUCACUGACGCUGAGACGCGAAAGCGUGGGGAGCAAACAGG